rnacentral:rRNA from 1 species
GACGAACGCUGGCGGCGUGCUUAACACAUGCAAGUCGAACGGAAAGGCCCUGCUUUUGUGGGGUGCUCGAGUGGCGAACGGGUGAGUAACACGUGAGUAACCUGCCCUUGACUUUGGGAUAACUUCAGGAAACUGGGGCUAAUACCGGAUAGGAGCUCCUGCUGCAUGGUGGGGGUUGGAAAGUUUCGGCGGUUGGGGAUGGACUCGCGGCUUAUCAGCUUGUUGGUGGGGUAGUGGCUUACCAAGGCUUUGACGGGUAGCCGGCCUGAGAGGGUGACCGGCCACAUUGGGACUGAGAUACGGCCCAGACUCCUACGGGAGGCAGCAGUGGGGAAUAUUGCGCAAUGGGCGGAAGCCUGAUGCGGCAACGCCGCGUGCGGGAUGACGGCCUUCGGGUUGUAAACCGCUUUCGCCUGUGACGAAGCGUGAGUGACGGUAAUGGGUAAAGAAGCACCGGCUAACUACGUG